AUUGAACGCUGGCGGAAUGCUUUACACAUGCAAGUCGAACGGCAGCACGGGGCAACCUGGUGGCGAGUGGCGAACGGGUGAGUAAUACAUCGGAACGUGCCCAAUCGUGGGGGAUAACGUAGCGAAAGUUACGCUAAUACCGCAUACGAUCUACGGAUGAAAGCGGGGGAUCGCACGACCUCGCGCGAAUGGAGCGGCCGGUGUCAGAUUAGGUAGUUGGUGGGGUAAAGGCUCACCAAGCCGACGAUCUGUAGCUUGUCUGAGAGGACGACCAGCCACACUGGGACUGAGACACGGCCCAGACUCCUACGGGAGGCAGCAGUGGGGAAUUUUGGACAAUGGGCGCAAGCCUGAUCCAGCCAUUCCGCGUGCAGGAUGAAGGCCUUCGGGUUGUAAACUGCUUUUGUACGGAACGAAACGGUUCUCUCUAAUACAGGGGGCUAAUGACGGUACCGUAAGAAUAAGCACCGGCUAACUACGUGCCAGCCGCCGCAGUAAGAC
rnacentral:rRNA from 1 species